rnacentral:rRNA from 1 species
AGAGUUUGAUCAUGGCUCAGGAUGAACGCUAGCGGGAGGCCUAACACAUGCAAGCCGAGCGGUAUUGUUUCUUCGGAAAUGAGAGAGCGGCGUACGGGUGCGGAACACGUGUGCAACCUGCCUUUAUCUGGGGGAUAGCCUUUCGAAAGAAAGAUUAAUACUCCAUAAUAUAUUGAACGGCAUCGUUUAAUAUUGAAAGCUCCGGCGGAUAGAGAUGGGCACGCGCAAGAUUAGCUAGUUGGUGAGGUAACGGCUCACCAAGGCGAUGAUCUUUAGGGGGCCUGAGAGGGUGAUCCCCCACACUGGUACUGAGACACGGACCAGACUCCUACGGGAGGCAGCAGUGAGGAAUAUUGGUCAAUGGGUGCAAGCCUGAACCAGCCAUCCCGCGUGAAGGACGACUGCCCUAUGGGUUGUAAACUUCUUUUGUAUAGGGAUAAACCUACCCUCGUGAGGGUAGCUGAAGGUACUAUACGAAUAAGCACCGGCUAACUCCGUGCCAGCAGCCGCGGUAAUACGGAGGGUGUAAGCGUUAUCCGGAUUUAUUGGGUUUAAAGGGUCCGUAGGCGGACUUAUAAGUCAGUGGUGAAAGCCUGUCGCUUAACGAUAGAACUGCCAUUGAUACUGUAAGUCUUGAGUAUAUUUGAGGUAGCUGGAAUAAGUAGUGUAGCGGUGAAAUGCAUAGAUAUUACUUAGAACACCAAUUGCGAAGGCAGGUUACCAAGAUAUAACUGACGCUGAGGGACGAAAGCGUGGGGAGCGAACAGGAUUAGAUACCCCGGUAGUCCAA